rnacentral:lncRNA from 1 species
UCUUCUCUGCUACUUCUUGGGUUAUGUUUAAAACUGUUAGGAUAUUUCCAUCAUUAUAAAAGAAGGAAUUUUCCAUAUAUGUCAUUGUAAAAUACUAUAUCUGACACUAAAACUCUACCUUAUGGUACUGUUAACUAUUUGGAGUUCUUUCCCAUCUAUUACCUCAUUAUCAUCACGUUAAUUCUGUGACAAAGUAUGGAUAAGUAUUAUUAUUAUUUCUAUUUUAUAUAUAAGGAACAAAGGCAAUUAAGAACAAGUUAUUUGCUUAAAGCUAGCCCUUAACAAAGCCAAUUUUAAAACCUAAUUACUGGUGCUGAUUAAUUAGCUCAUGGCCCCUGGCUUUUCUUCUUUAAUGAUUCUCUAGGAGUUUAACUUUAUUAAAAGCAAUUAUACUUAUAUGGACUGAAAUGAUACUUUUGUGAUUUUUUUCAAAUAAUUGAGGUAUGUGUUAUGUCCUGUUUGCAAAAUAUGUUUAGUAAAUACAUUUGUCUAACUGUAAAAUCAGCUUUUUCCAUGUGAGGAAAAAAAUCAUAUACUAUUAUUUUAAUUGUUUUUAAGAGAGACAUAGUGCAAAACUUGGACGGUGGUUUCUCUGAAGACCUCAUAUAAAACCAAAGCCCAAUACUUUUUAUUGAGACAGGGUUUCACUCAUGUUGCCUGGGCUCUAGCGCAGUGGCGCAAUAUCAGCUCAGUGCAACCUGUCUCCCAGGCUCGAGCAAUUCUCCUGCCCCAUACUCCCUCAGCCUCCAGAGUAGCUGGGACUACAGGUGCACACCACCACACCUGGCUAAUUUUUGUAUUUUUAGUAGAGACGGAGUUUCGCCACAUCGCCCAGGCUGGUCUUUAACUCGAGUUCAAGUGAUCCUCGAUUCAGGUUCCCAAAGUGCUGGGAUUACAGGCAUGAGCCAC